rnacentral:rRNA from 1 species
UACGGAGGGUGCAAACGUUGCUCGGAAUCAUUGGGCGUAAAGCGCACGUAGGCGGCCUGAUAAGUCGGGUGUGAAAGCCCUGGGCUCAACCCAGGAAGUGCACUCGAAACUGUCAGGCUUGAAUAUGGAAGAGGGUCGCGGAAUUCCCGGUGUAGAGGUGAAAUUCGUAGAUAUUGGGAAGAACACCGGUGGCGAAGGCGGCGACCUGGUCCUUGACUGACGCUGAGGCGCGAAAGCGUGGGGAGCAAACAGG